AUGCGGGUAGUGCCGGGCGGCGGGGAGGCGACCGUGCUGGUCAACCAGGUUGAUGGUUUUCGUCUCCGCUUCACCAACGAGGUCGGCGUCGACCAAGGUACCGGCCAAGUCUACUUCACCGACAGCUCGAUGAACUUCGCGAGGUCGCAACAUGGGCUGGUCACCAAGACAGGGGACUCGACGGGCCGCCUCAUGAUGUACGACCCACAGACAUUGGAUGUCACCGUGCUCCAAGCUAGGAUGACGUCCCCAAAUGGCGUCGAGACCAGAGGGGUCAACGUAGGCACAUCCGAGCCUUUCGCCGACCUGCCUGGCUACCCGGAUAACAUGAGGCCGGACAAGGGAGGUUAUUGGGUGGGGUUGCACUGUGAGAAGAAUGAGCUGCCCUUUAGUCGUGAUAGCCAUCUUCUCGUAUCGAGGGUCGGUGCCGAUGAGAAGAUAAUCAAGGAGAUGAGAGGUCCAAAGAAAGUCAGGCUGACCAAGAUCAUGAAGAGAGAUAAUGGCAAACUCUACAUGGGUUCAGUGGAGCUUCGUCACGUAGGCGUUGUUAAACGCAAGUAG
rnacentral:rRNA from 1 species